UCUCUAUAUAUAUAUAUGCACAUAUAUAUAAAAAUGGCUAACGAUCUGCAAUAUUUGUAGACUCAGAACCCCUGCCCCAUCCUCUCCCCAAAAUCUGACCCCAAGAAGAGUGCUGGGAAAGCUGGUGAAAUUCUCAGAAGUGUGGAUCAACAAAGGUAACAGAUUUCGUGAUUCACGGUUUCUACAUAAGCCUUGAUUUUUUUGUUUUUCAGUUCACUUCUAGUCGAAUGCCGAAACCUAACAGGUUUUACAUUUACAAACUUUUUUUUUUUUGUGGACAAGGAAGGCUUUGACUCUCAUUCCUGACAGCGAUUUACCUGAUACAUGGUACUACUUUCAUAAUGUACGCUUUUCUUUGAGAAAAAAAACAUGUAACAAAUUGUCUUUACAUAUUGGCACCUUGUAAAUUUUUUUUUUUUUUUUUAUACAAAAGUUCAAUAGUUUGACACUCCCCAUUAUUAAUCA